UACGUAGGGGGCAAGCGUUGUCCGGAAUCAUUGGGCGUAAAGCGCGUGUAGGCGGCCCGGUAAGUCCGCUGUGAAAGUCGGGGGGCUCAACCCUCGAAUGCCGGUGGAUACUGUCGGGCUAGAGUGCGGGAGAGGCGAGUGGAAUUCCUGGUGUAGCGGUGAAAUGCGCAGAUAUCAGGAGGAACACCAAUUGCGAAGGCAGCUCGCUGGAACGUAACUGACGCUGAGGAGCGAAAGCAUGGGGAGCGAACAGG
rnacentral:rRNA from 1 species